UUACGAGACGUUCGUUGCAUUUAUUGUGAAUUCUCGCUCGAGUUGGUUUAUUAAUGCAAAAUUUCUUGUGAUUAAAUUAUUUUUUCUGCAUCAGUUUUAUUUUUAUUGAUGCUUGUGCAUAACGGGUCAAUGUUGUUGUAAUUCAAAAUGAAUCAAGAGACGAUCAAUACGAAGGAAUCUUUACGUAAAAAUACCAUCGUUUUACUUUAUUUAAGUUUGAUUGGUAAUAUCUGGGGAUUGAUAACCGCUUACAGAAUAUUUAAUAAUUUAUCCUAUAAACAGUUUUUACAUGAUGAGAUUUCCAUUUUACUUGACUUUGCUCUCCUAGUGAUUGGAAGUAUGAUUUUCUUCAAUACCAUCUCUCUUCCUCGGUUCGUUUACUGUGGAUGGCUAUUAUUUUUUCCCUGUUGGACGCAUUUUAUAUGAUUUAUGGCUUGAUUCAAAUGCAUUCUAAUAAUGAUGUGAGGGAAGUAUUGUUUAAUAUUUCGAGGCAAAGAGAGGUAGCCAAAGUAAUUCAGGCUGAACAAAGCUCAUAUUGGUUUCCUAUGGAGUCAUUUUCAUCCUCGAUGCUUGUUGUUAUUGUUUCUCUGGUGAUUGGUAUAGCAUUCAAAUUGUAUUCAGCAUUAAUAUUUCACAUCUACAAACUCCUAUUACAACGAUGGCCCAAUCCAGGCGCAACAGCUCCACAAAAUGAUUCAUGUGCACCUUCGAUUUACACAGUGCAAGUAUCAGAUUCUCAUUGUAUGAGCCAGUUUCCUCAAUAUCUUCACCGAAAUCCAUCUUUUAUGCGACGUGUGUUUUCUCCAGCACAGAAAACUCCUCAGUAUUAUUUUCAGCCUCGUAUGAUUACUCAUGUUCCACUUCACGCUAGUCAAAGUCAGUUCGCUUCAAAGUCACAAACUCCUAGGAUCUCAUCCACUAUUCCUAAUCAGUGUCAGUGCCUUAUCGCACCUCUUGAAUAUAUUAAUCAAUCUCCCAAUAUCCCAUCCAGCAAUCCUAAUUAAUGUAUGUAAUUUUCCCAAAAUCAUUUCAUACCUAUUUGAAAUUAACUUUCAUAUUUUACCUAUUUUAUUGAAUUUUUUUAAGAUGGCAGUACUAUCUACUUACCUAUUUAGGAGGAGGUUCUAAAUAUGAACCCAUCGCAGUUCACAAAAAUGAGCUAGCGCUAUAGAGCCAUACUGGGUACCUACUAAAAAUUAUACCAGGGUCAUUCCACCUCAAAUUGAUCAACGUUUUUGAGUCAUGUCCUUCGAUUUCGUUCAAUUUUUUUUUACAGUGUCUACCCACCUAAUAAGUAAGAAACCCGCAAUCGGUUUGGUCCCAGCUCCCUCAGGGGGUGGGUGGGGGGGGCUUCAACCAUUUUCACAUUGUCUCAAGGUAUUCAACUUCAGCAGUGCGUACCUCUAAAGCUAUGAUACAUUAAUCAAAACUGAUUCCACAGUUUGAAAAGGCAUUUUGAAUUUCAAACUUUUCAAGUAGGGUAAGUACCUAUUUUGAAAUUUUCAAAAGUUGGAAGUUGAACUCAAAUUGAAAGUUCAAAUUGCAAAAUAGCGUUGUAUGUGGGAGCUAACCAUUUAAAAUUCUGAAAAAUUUCCAUAGAUGUACCUUUUGACGUUAUUUUGAGGUAUUCAAUUCUCGAGAUGGAAUCUUCUGAUGGAAGGGAGCACCCUCCCCCCAAAUUUGGGCAAAACUUUCAAAAAAAUCUGGGGCAUGUGACAUAUCGAAUUGUAUGUUUUUGGUGACGCUGAAUACGAAUAUGAUGUCAGAUUUUUGAUUGAACCCCAUCCAAGGCCCCCCAGCACCUCCCCAAAUGGGGUAAAAGUUCAAAAAAAUGUUUUGUUCGUGCGACACAUGAAAUGGUAUGUUUUUGGGGAUGCUGAAAACGAAUAUGACGUCAGAUUUUUGAUUGGACCAAAUGAAACAAAUAUUGUGGACUUUUACCCCCUUUGGGGACCUCCUAGGGGCCGUAUAUGAGAUCCAAUAAAGAAUCUGACGUCAUAUUCGUGUUCAGCGUUCCCAAAAACAUCCUAUUACAGGUGCCACACGAACAAAACACUUAAUUGAAUUUUUACCCCAAUUGAGGACCUCCUGGGGGCCGUAAAUCAAAAAUCUGACGUCAUAUUCGUGUUCAGCGUCACCAAAAACAUACAAUUCGAUAUGUCACAUGCCCCAGAUUUUUUUUCGAAAGUUUUUCCCAAAUUUGGGGGAGGAGGUGCUCCCCUUCCGUCAGAAGAUUUCAUCUCAAAAAUUGAAUAUUUCGAAAAAACAUUAGAAGGUACAUCUAUGGAAAUUUCUUCAGAAUUUUAAAUGGUAGCUCCCACUUACAGCGCCAUUUUGAAAUUUGAACUUUCAAUUUGAAAGUUCAACUUUCAGCUAUGAAAAUUUCAAAAUGCUUAAAAAGUUCAAAAUUCAAUGCCCUUUUGAACUGUGAAAUCAGUUUUGAUCAAAGUAUUAUAGCUUUGGAGGCAUGCACUGCUAAAGUUACAGACAAUGUGAAAAUAAUUGAAGCCCCCCCAUCCACCUCCCCUUAAGUGAGCUGAGACCAAACUGGGUGGGUAGACAUUGUAAAAAAAAUUGAGCAAAACCGAAAGACACGACUUUCAAAAUCGCAUUUUUUUUUGGUUGAAUUGACAUAGAAUGGCCCACCUUGUAAUGUAGUGUCAACGAUCCGGGUUAUAAUUGCGGGUUCAUAUAUGUACAUACCUAUUUGUACCACUUACCUAUUCUAUGUAUUAUAUUAUUAUAUUAUAUUUUCCGCAUUUAUGAUUUGUACUUGUUCAUUUUAUAACGUUUGAAUAUUUUCCUCUCAUAAAUUCCCUUUGUAUUCUGAAACCAAUAUACCUAAGUACUUCUAAAAGUGACUUAUUUAUAUGUACCUACGAUGAGUUAUAUAAUAAAGAGAUAAUUUAUGAUACUUUGGUCAAAUUAAUCAGCUGCUCUUCUCACGCGAUUUAAUUCCACUACCUACUCCUUUUUUUCGUAGACCUAUUCUCUUGAGAUUCAGCACGUUUUAAUAAAAACCCACCUGCAGUGAAAUUAGUCAAAUUGCAAGAACGUGAAUUGUUAAAAUGUGGAAUUACUGUUUAUUUGUACCUCCCACCCAGAAUGCUGAGAUGUAGUGGAAGUGGAUAAUACUCGUAUAAUACAAAGAUACCUACGUUAUUCUUAUAUGAUGCGAAUAAAAUUUCUUGAACUUGUGCCAGUCGUUAUUCCGACGACAACACUGGCGUCUGGUGUUGCCUGAUUUCGUGUUUAGAAUGAUAAACUAAAAUAAUAUUACGAUGUGUAGUUUGUAAAAAUCAAAUUUAGUUCCUUUAAUUUCUUUUUGUAUUUUGUGUGCUGAAUGAAAAUGUCUACGAGUUGUGAAAAAUCUCUUCGUAAAGUUACCUUAAGCUUACUUUAUAUUUCUGUGAUUCAUAGCGUGGUGUGGUAUUUAUCUGGUGCGUCUUCACAUGAAUUGGAGCACCAGCAAGUUCAUUUCUGGUAUAUGUUGGUGGAAUGUUUAUUUUUCUUGAUUGCAAUCACAAAUAUUAAUAAUAAAAAGUCUGUUCAGAGUAAUGGCUUGUCGGGGUUAUUCGCCGCUGAAUUAUUCUCAUGUAUGGAUGCUGUGAUUUUUAUUUCUUUUGGUUAUUUAUUGAUUAAGGAACAAGGAUACGAAGGAUUAGAGAUGUUGAGAGGAAUUUUCAUGAUCGUGUCUACAAUUUUCAAAAUUGUAUCCGAAUUGGUGUUUUGGAGUUAUCAGGUUGAAUUGAGGCGAGAUCAUUUUCAAGACAUACCAACUCAUCGAAAUGUUUAUCAUCAGAGAAUAAGGACAUUUGUGUCGGUGCUCUAAUUAUACGUAGCCGGUUGUAAAGUUUCCAAAUUAGUUAACUUGCUCAAUUCUCGCAAAAACUCUCAAAAGAGAUUAUAAGAUGACAUUUCAAACCAGAAAAUGUUAUAAUCGCUCAAUAUAGGAAAAGCAUCAUAAUUUUUUUCAGAAGGUCUCACCUUCAAUCUUGCGCACCUAUAUAAAUGGACUUCAUCAAGAACUUUUUGUUCUGGUAUUUUUUAUAAAGUGAUUGUAAAAAUCAUCUAAGUAUUUAUUGUUUUUGUUUUUCAUGUUUUCUAAUCUGAGUAAUAAAAAUUUUGAUAAUUUUUAA